GGUUAAGCGACUAAGCGUACACGGUGGAUGCCCUGGCAGUCAGAGGCGAUGAAGGACGUGCUAAUCUGCGAUAAGCGCCGGUAAGGUGAUAUGAACCGUUAUAACCGGCGAUUUCCGAAUGGGGAAACCCAGUGUGAUUCGUCACACUAUCAUUAACUGAAUCCAUAGGUUAAUGAGGCGAACCGGGGGAACUGAAACAUCUAAGUACCCCGAGGAAAAGAAAUCAACCGAGAUUCCCCCAGUAGCGGCGAGCGAACGGGGAGGAGCCCAGAGCCUGAAUCAGCAUGUGUGUUAGUGGAAGCGUCUGGAAAGGUGCGCGAUACAGGGUGACAGCCCCGUACACAAAAGCGCAUGUGCUGUGAGCUCGAUGAGUAGGGCGGGACACGUGGUAUCCUGUCUGAAUAUGGGGGGACCAUCCUCCAAGGCUAAAUACUCCUGACUGACCGAUAGUGAACCAGUACCGUGAGGGAAAGGCGAAAAGAACCCCGGCGAGGGGAGUGAAAAAGAACCUGAAACCGUGUACGUACAAGCAGUGGGAGCACAGGUUUACCUGUGUGACUGCGUACCUUUUGUAUAAUGGGUCAGCGACUUAUAUUCUGUAGCAAGGUUAACCGUAUAGGGGAGCCGUAGGGAAACCGAGUCUUAACCGGGCGUUAAGUUGCAGGGUAUAGACCCGAAACCCGGUGAUCUAGCCAUGGGCAGGUUGAAGGUUGGGUAACACUAACUGGAGGACCGAACCGACUAAUGUUGAAAAAUUAGCGGAUGACCUGUGGCUGGGGGUGAAAGGCCAAUCAAACCGGGAGAUAGCUGGUUCUCCCCGAAAGCUAUUUAGGUAGCGCCUCGUGAAUUCAUCUCCGGGGGUAGAGCACUGUUUCGGCUAGGGGGCCAUCCCGGCUUACCAACCCGAUGCAAACUGCGAAUACCGGAGAAUGUUAUCACGGGAGACACACGGCGGGUGCUAACGUCCGUCGUGAAGAGGGAAACAACCCAGACCGCCAGCUAAGGUCCCAAAGUCAUGGUUAAGUGGGAAACGAUGUGGGAAGGCCCAGACAGCCAGGAUGUUGGCUUAGAAGCAGCCAUCAUUUAAAGAAAGCGUAAUAGCUCACUGGUCGAGUCGGCCUGCGCGGAAGAUGUAACGGGGCUAAACCAU
rnacentral:rRNA from 1 species